rnacentral:lncRNA from 1 species
AUCCUUACAUUUACACACAAAGCUAGUAAUCACCUACAUCUAACCUUGACAAAUGGAUGACUUAGCUACUCAUUUUCAUGGUAGCUUGGUCGGCAAGUAAGGAAAGAAGGUUGAUCAACAUCCAAGUCGGAUAAUCGAAGUUGGAUGGGAAUCCACCUUCUUUUUGUAGAAGAUGGUUCUAAGAUGAAGAGAAAUGAAAACUAGGGCAUAAAAGCUCCCAAGAACAAUGCUGUAAAAUAUCUAGAGGAAAGUACAAAAGUGGAAAAAGU